GCCAUGGACCUGAGUUCUCCCUCGCUCCCUAAGAAGACCCUGCCUGUCCCUGGGGCCCUGGAGCAGGUGACCAGUUGGCUGAGCAGCAAAGUGGCUCUGGAGGUUCCUCAUGGCAGCAAACAGGAGCUGCAGGACCUCAGAUGCCAGAGCCUGACCACCGGCGAGGUCUGCGGCGCCUGCUUUGAGACCCGAAAGGGCCUGUCCAGCCACGCACGCUCCCACCUGCAGUAGCUGGUAGUGGCAGAGUCCGAGAGGUGCGUUGCACCCAUCAACCUCCUCUAGGACCUUAUGAAGCAGAAGGGCCUGGCGGACGCCCACCUUGGGCUGCCCCCGGGCCUGGCUAAGAAGUCCAGCUGGCUGAAGGAGGUGGUCUCCGGGGACCCCGUCCUGGCUUACUUACCCUGGCCAACUCCUUGGAUGCCCCUGCUGUCAACAAAGCCAUUAAGUUGCAUCUCGGCUUCUCGACCAAGGGCCUGGGCCGCCCCCACCUCCCCAGCUCUCCGCUCCUCAAAAAGACACCACUGGCCCUGGCGGGCUCCGCUACCCCUAAGAAUCCUGAGGACAAGAGCCCCGAGCUGUAUCUGAGCCCCCCGGCCGGCCUCCCAAAAGGCACAGUGACCUCAGCCUGAGGCCCUUGAACCUCACCUCAGGCCCAGAGCCCUCACCAGACGUCCGCUGCUGUGAGUUCUGUGGUGAGUUCUUCUAGAACCGCAAGGGCUACUGGAGCCACACGGGCUCCCACCUGAGGCAAAUGGGCGUGACUGAAGGGUACGUCAAUGGCUCGCCCAUCGACAGGCUGCGGGAGCUCCUGAAGAGACAGACCCAGUCUCGCCCUGGCAGACCUCCCAACCAGCCAGGGCCAAGUCCAAAAGCUCUGGCCAAGAUGAUGGGCGUCACAGGUCCUGGCAGCUCACCGGAAACCCGCAGCCCCUCGGACCUUCACAUCUCACCCUUGGCCAAGAAGUUGCCACCGCCACCAGGCAGCUCCCUGGGCUACUCACCAACUGCCUCUACUCCUCCCACGGCCCGGAAGAUGUUCCCAGGUCUGACUGCACCCUCCCUGCCCAAGAAGCUGAAGUCUGAACAAAUACGGGUGAUCAAGCAGGAGAUGCUGCCGGGGGCCGUUCAUGGGGAGCUACACCUGUCUGAGGGUCCCUGGGAGACGCCACGGGAAGACAUGAUACCUCUGAACCUGUCUUCCCGGGCAGAGCCGGUGCGCGACAUCGCUAUAAGUUCUGCGGCGGGUUCUUUGAGAAGCGCAAGGGCCUAUCUAGUCAUGCGUGCUCCCACCUGCUGCAGAUGGGUGUGACCGAGUGGUCAGUCCAUGGUUCGUCCAUUGACACUGCGAGAGAUCCUCUAGAAGUCCAAGCCGUGCCUCAUCAAGAAGGAAUCAAUCACUGGCUGGAGACCUGGUCCCUGCCUUGGCUGAGGAUGGGCCUCCCACUGUGGCCCCUGGGCCAGUGCAGUCCCCACUGCCGCUAUCGUCUGGCCGGUCAGGCAAACCAGGCACAGGGCCGGCCCAGGUUUCCUUGUGAGCUCAGCCUGACUCCCAUCUCUGGGGCCAAGCCCUGAGCCACUGGCUACCUGGGCUCAGUGGCAGCCAAGCUGCCCCUGCAGGAGGACCGCCUCCUCCCCAGCAGAGGUCAAGGCCAAGACCUACAUCCAGACUGAACCGCCCUUCAAGACAAAGACCAUUCACAAGAAGACCUCCCACUCCUCCACCGAGGCCUGCUGCGAGCUGUGUGGACUUUACUUUGAAAACCGCAAGGCUCUGGCCAGCCACGCACGGGAACAGCUGUGGUAAUUCAACAUGACCGAGUGGCGCAUCAGUGGUUCGCCCAUCGAGACACUGAGCGAGUGGAUCAAGCACCAAUCCCAGAAGGUGGGCGCCUACCGCAGUUAUACAUCCGGGGCAGCUGCACCUUCACCAAGAAGUACCGCAGUGCCAGCCAUGGCCAUGACAGUGAAAAGCGGCCGUCCCUGAGCUGGCACCCAGGCGCCUGGCCGUGGUAGGCUGCAGUGCUGGGGGCCUGGGAACCAGAGCCUGAGGCUGGCUGGGCAGCCCACAGUGGUGAGCAGCCUCUGGCAGCCAGGCCGCUGGACACCGUGAAGGCUGAAGCGCACCAGCGGCAGAACAUCAACAAAUUCGAAUGCCGACAAGCUUGUCCUCCAGAUGCCUCCACAGCCGGGGGAGGUGAGGAGACCGAUGACCGACAGCAGAAGCUGGAGGAGGUGAGGCAACCCCACCCCGAGUCCGGCCGGUCCCCUCCCUGGUGACCCUGACAUCACUUGUCAAGUUCGUGGGCAACAUCUACACUUGUCCUCAAAUGCAGGUUCUGCGAAAUGAAAUUCCAGGGCCCCUUCUCUAUCCAGGAAGAGUAGGUGUGGCACUUAACAGCUGCACAUCCUGGAGAUGAACUUCUCCAAAGUGGACCCACAGCCUAAGGAGUCCCAGGCCCUGCAGGCACAGACAGUGGCGGCAGAGGCUUCCUAA